rnacentral:rRNA from 1 species
AUGAACGCUGGCGGCGUGCCUAAUCCAUGCAAGUCGAGCGAACAGACGAGGAGCUUGCUCCUCUGACGUUAGCGGCGGACGGGUGAGUAACACGUGGAUAACCUACCUAUAAGACUGGGAUAACUUCGGGAAACCGGAGCUAAUACCGGAUAAUAUAUUGAACCGCCUGGUUCAAUAGUGAAAGACGGUUUUGCUGUCACUUAUAGAUGGAUCCGCGCCGCAUUAGCUAGUUGGUAAGGUAACGGCUUACCAAGGCAACGAUGCGUAGCCGACCUGAGAGGGUGAUCGGCCACACUGGAACUGAGACACGGUCCAGACUCCUUCGGGAGGCAGCAGUAGGGAAUCUUCCGCAAUGGGCGAAAGCCUGACGGAGCAACGCCGCGUGAGUGAUGAAGGUCUUCGGAUCGUAAAACUCUGUUAUUAGGGAAGAACAAAUGUGUAAGUAACUAUGCACGUCUUGACGGUACCUAAUCAGAAAGCCACGGCUAACUACGUG